AAAUGUCGGCUUACAUACAGAUCCACAAGGUCCUGUCAGCUCUGUCUGGAAUGCAUUUGUCAUCAAAAGGUCUUUCUCCAGCCAACAAUCUUGUGGCACUGGAGGUCUGAACAAAAUAAAAUUUUGGAGAGGGUAAGGUGUUCUGGAAAUGCUGUUGUCUUGGAUGGUGACAUGAGAGCUGAUUCAACAGGUGUAAUGUGUUUAUGGAGGAAUCACAGCAGUGGGAGGAUCCUCUGAUGCAGGUUGAGAGAGGAGCUCUGGGACUGAAGCAGCCUUGAACACCAGCUCUGGCUGAGGCUACGACGGCAAACACUGGAACGGCCUUGACUGGAACUACUUUGCUGUUCUUUCCCAUCAUGAGAGGAACCUUUGUAGUGGACAGGACGGGCGUCAGUGUGACCCGGUCAAUCAUGUCAGAAACCUCUUCAGGGUUUGCAACGGCAGCAGAAAACCUCAGGCCGGGACAAGAAGCUCUGGAAAGGUACCCUGUGGAGUGACCUCUCUGAUCUCAGCAGAUUCUGGAGCAGCAGCAUUCACAUUGUUUUCUAAAGCGGCCUUGAUUUCUUUGGGACUCAUUUGUCCGUGGCAAGAACUUUUGGGUCAGACACAACCGAGGCCUGCCAGCCCCGCAAGACGCUAAAGCUGGAGAGAUGAAGGGGUCACCUGUCUCAGUCCUCCAGACACAAGACUGACCCUCUUCACCAGGACCUGAAACACAAUUAGAAAUUAUACAAAUUACACAAACAUACUUCAUAAGGUAUAAAAAUACAUCAUGUGCAGUGUAUAUGGAUUGACUAUGUAACAGUUGCAGCAGGGAUUCUGAUCACAUCAAAUCAACAAAAAGACAAAUACAAACAAAUCAUUUUAGCUUGUGUUAGACUUACCUUGAACCAGGCAUGGGAGAGCAUCUCCUCCAGAUGAGCCCUC